ACACUUGAGAAUGUUUUGUUUUGUCAAGAAGUUCCACAGAAUUUGCUCUCAAUAAGAAAGAUGCAAGAUGCUGGAUUUUCUAUUGAGUUUAACUCCGAAGGUGUCAUUGUACGAAACAAAAGCCAUGUAAUCAUUCAAGGCAAGCAACUGGCUGAUUUGUUGACCAAACCCUUGUCAACUCCACGAUUCAUGGAACUAAGAACACAAGUUGGAUUAAAGAAUUUAGAACACUAAAUAUAAGUUUUUUUUUUUUUGGUCUGAUUAGGUUUUUCUGGGUUUUCCCUAGUCCUUGCAACAAAUGUUGGGCCAUAAAUAUUUUUACCCAGAUAUAACAACUUGUCAAUUUUUUAUUAAAUACUAUUUAAAGGAUCGACAUAUUUUUGAGGCGGCGUGUUGAAAAACAUGUAAAUUUGAAUUUACUAUUCAAAAAUAUGUCGACCAGUGCAUUUACUUUGUUUCAAUUAAUUUGAAUUUAUCUAAAUAUUUUUGAUUCAUCACAUGUGCUUUGAGAUUUAGUUUUUCUGUAUUACAAUAUUGAGCUGAUUGUAAUUAUAUUUUUUCAUUCGUUUUUCAAAUCAUUGAAGUGACAAGUUCAAGAAAGAAAAGAAAUAAAAAACAAGAUAUUCCAUUUCAA